GGGGCUGUAGCUCAGCUGGGAGAGCGCUGCCAUGGCAUGGCAGAGGUCAGGGGUUCGAGCCCCCUCAGCUCCA
rnacentral:tRNA from 1 species